GAUGAACGCUGGCGGCGUGCCUAAUACAUGCAAGUCGAGCGAACAGACGAGGAGCUUGCUCCUCUGACGUUAGCGGCGGACGGGUGAGUAACACGUGGAUAACCUACCUAUAAGACUGGGAUAACUUCGGGAAACCGGAGCUAAUACCGGAUAAUAUAUUGAACCGCAUGGUUCAAUAGUGAAAGACGGUUUUGCUGUCACUUAUAGAUGGAUCCGCGCCGCAUUAGCUAGUUGGUAAGGUAACGGCUUACCAAGGCAACGAUGCGUAGCCGACCUGAGAGGGUGAGGGGCACCACUGGAACUGAGACCGGGCCCAGACUCAGGCGGGGGGCAGAAGGAGGAAGUCUUCCGCAAGGGGAGAAGCCCGGACGGAGAAACGCGGGGUGAGUAAUAAGGGUUUUCGUAUUAAAAACCUCUUUUAUUGGGAAAAAAAAAAUGUAAAAGAAACUAUGCGCGUCUGGAGGGACCCUAAUAAAAAACCCAGGACAAACUACGUC
rnacentral:rRNA from 1 species